AGUGAACGCUGGCGGUAGGCCCAACACAUGCAAGUCGAACGGCAGCACAGUAAGAGCUUGCUCUUACGGGUGGCGAGUGGCGGACGGGUGAGGAAUACAUCGGAAUCUACUUUUUCGUGGGGGAUAACGUAGGGAAACUUACGCUAAUACCGCAUACGACCUACGGGUGAAAGCAGGGGAUCUUCGGACCUUGCGCGAUUGAAUGAGCCGAUGUCGGAUUAGCUAGUUGGCGGGGUAAAGGCCCACCAAGGCGACGAUCCGUAGCUGGUCUGAGAGGAUGAUCAGCCACACUGGAACUGAGACACGGUCCAGACUCCUACGGGAGGCAGCAGUGGGGAAUAUUGGACAAUGGGCGCAAGCCUGAUCCAGCCAUACCGCGUGGGUGAAGAAGGCCUUCGGGUUGUAAAGCCCUUUUGUUGGGAAAGAAAGGCAGCAGGUUAAUACCCCGCUGUUCUGACGGUACCCAAAGAAUAAGCACCGGCUAACUUCGU
rnacentral:rRNA from 1 species